ensembl:lncRNA
AUGAUAUCUGCAGUGGUCUCAUCUCCAAAUAUGGCUGGGCCAAGACUUUCACACAGGGCUCAGGGACACGAUUUGGGUCCUGAGGAUCCGCUUUAUAGCUGUCUCACUUUAAGAACAGAACUCAGCAUGUGAUGGUCAAUAAAUAUCAUGGCCUUGCUCUAGACACCUGGAGAAGGAGAUGCUGGUGACUACUCUGCUGGCAAAAGCCAUGUCCCAGAUGGCAUCUGGAGCAAGCACAGUUCCAGGGAACAGGACAUCUGGACGCAGAGGUGGACCUGGAUGGGAGACUGCUAGCCAAGGAAGGCGGCUGGGGUAGAUCCUCCAUGAGGCCUCAAAAAGAAGCAGACCCAGCUCUGGACUUCAGACCCCCAAAUGGAACUACAGACUUCUGCCAAAGCCACACUGCCUGUGGAACUCUGCUCUUGCACAAUCCAGGCCCCCAACAUCUCCUCCUGUGUUAUUCUGGCCAUGGUGAGCACACAGCAGUAGCUGCAGCCUGCAUGGUGUUAACCAUCUGAUUCCUGUCAACUUGGGGACCUGAAAGCCUUCCCAGAGCUCCUCCUCAGCACAAUCUGCCCAUAGGCUCUGUGGAUCUCUCUUGUCUGGGAUGCAGCCUGGGCCUGAGGCUUCUAGGGAAUGUGUCCUGCGGAGCAUGGACCCAUGCUUGGUAGCCAGCUGUGGAAGUGGAGCUCUUCGUGGUCCUGGGGCUGUGUACAGGUUGGCAGUACCAGGCUGUUCUGAGGGGCCUGGAGGAAGGAGGAUCACACGUGGGAGCUCCCUGCUCCCAUCUCUGUGCCUUGGUGUUGUCCACACAGAUCUAACCCUGGCACCAUCACACACCUGUCUUCUCUGUGGGACAGUGAGUGCCUCGUAGGCCUCUCCAAAGGCUUGCUGACCCCAGUGUUGGGAC